rnacentral:rRNA from 1 species
GUCUUCGGAUUGUAAAGCACUUUAAGUUGGGAGGAAGGGCAGUAAGUUAAUACCUUGCUGUUUUGACGUUACCAACAGAAUAAGCACCGGCUAACUUCGUGCCAGCAGCCGCGGUAAUACGAAGGGUGCAAGCGUUAAUCGGAAUUACUGGGCGUAAAGCGCGCGUAGGUGGUUCGUUAAGUUGGAUGUGAAAGCCCCGGGCUCAACCUGGGAACUGCAUCCAAAACUGGCGAGCUAGAGUAUGGCAGAGGGUGGCGGAAUUUCCUGUGUAGCGGUGAAAUG